rnacentral:rRNA from 1 species
AACGAACGCUGGCGGCAUGCCUAACACAUGCAAGUCGAACGAGACCUUCGGGUCUAUUGGCGCACGAGUGCGUAACGCGUGGGAACCUGCCUUUAGGUUCGGAAUACCUCAGAGAAAUUUAAGCUAAUACCGGAUGAUGUCUUCUGACCAAAGAUUUAUCGCCUUUCGUUGUGCCCGCGUUGGAUUAGCUAGUUGGGUGGGUAAAGGCCUACCAAGGCGACGAUCCGUAGCUGGUCUGAGAGGAUGAUCAGCCACACUGGGAGUGAGACACGGCCCAGACUCCUACGGGAGGCAGCAGUGGGGAAUAUUGGAAAAUGGGCGAAAGCCUGAUCCAGCAAUGCCGCGUGAGUGAUGAAGGUCUUAGGGUUGUAAAGCUCUUUUACCCGAGAUGAUAAUGACAGUAUCGGGAGAAUAAGCUCCGGCUAACUCCGUG